UGCAAAGUAGCAAGUUGCAGCAUGGAUGGACCUUCCAUCAGGUUCCCCUUCAGGCUGAAAGGAACACAACCAGAAUGUUGUAGCCAUGAUUCUUCCUUUGAUCUUUCUUGCACUGAUACCACCAACACAAUGCUGCAGCUCCCAUUCUCUUUCAAGGCCUUAGUCAAAAGCAUCAACUAUUCAUCACAACUCAUAACUCUCUCUUAUCCUCAAGGCUGCUCCAUUCACUCACACAUUCCACUGUUUGACUUUUCUCUUUCUCCUUUUAGCUUCAUUGAUGGCUCUCUACUCCAUAAUUAUGCAUUGUUCAAUUGUUCGAGGAUGGAUAAGGAAUACUUCUUAGCAUCUAGAAGCUUUUCUUGCCUUCAUGUACUUUUCAAGUUGUAACAGUGAAUUCUGAUCAAUCCAUUGUUAAAUACUCAGUUAUUCUCUUGCACUAGUAUCCGCAGCAGUGUACCAUUGCCUAGUUCUUUGUUUGACAGGAACAUUGAUACUGUUCUUAAUUGGUUCCAACCGGAUUGCAAAGACUGCGAAAGUGAGAGGAAACGAAUCCAAUCAUAGGCUUGAAUGUAUAGGCCUCCCCCAUAGUACUAAGGGUUUACAUAGAGGGAAAAAGCUUGCUGGUGAAAUUCUAGGCCCUUUUAUGUUUCUAUUUGUUGGAGUGGCAGCUUAUUGUGUCUAUGUAGCUGGCAAUGAAAGGCUGAGUUAUAUGAAGAUCAAAAAGCUUUUGGAGGACUACAAAGCACUUAAGCCUGCAAGGUACUCUUAUGCAGAUAUAAGAAGAAUUACAAAUCAGUUUAGCGAAGAAUUGGGGCAAGGAGCAUAUGAACCUGUCUUCAAAGGGAAGCUAGGGGAUGAAAUUGAGGUUGCUGUAAAGGUCUUAAAUGCUUCAUCAGGUAAUGGCCAAGAGUUCAUCAAUGAAAUGGAAGCAAUGUGUCAAAUUCACCAUGUCAAUGUGGCUCGCUUGGUCAGAUUUUGUUCUGAUGGAUCUAGAAGAGCUUUGGUAUACGAAUUUUUAUGAAAUGGUUCGUUGCAAAAAUUCAUUUCCUCAGCAGACACCAAAGAUGCCUUUCUAGGCUGGGAAAAGCUACAAGAUAUUGCUCUUGGCAUAGCCAAGGGAAUUGAGUAUCUUCACCAAGGAUGUGAGAAAAGAAUUUUACAUUUUGAUAUCAAGCCUCGUAAUGUACUUCUAGACAGUGAUUUCACACCAAAACUCUCUGAUUUUGGUUUAGCAAAGCUCUGCCCAAGGAUCAAAGUAUAGUGUCAAUGACCACAGCUAGGGGUACUUUGGGCUACAUUGCACCAGAGGUAUUUUCUAGGAACUUUGGCAAUGUAUCGUGUAAAUCGGAUGUAUAUAGUUAUGGAAUGCUGCUGCU